rnacentral:rRNA from 1 species
GACGAACGCUGGCGGCGUGCUUAACACAUGCAAGUCGAACGGAAAGGCCCUGCUUUUGUGGGGUGCUCGAGUGGCGAACGGGUGAGUAACACGUGAGUAACCUGCCCUUGACUUUGGGAUAACUUCAGGAAACUGGGGCUAAUACCGGAUAGGAGCUCCUGCUGCAUGGUGGGGGUUGGAAAGUUUCGGCGGUUGGGGAUGGACUCGCGGCUUAUCAGCUUGUUGGUGGGGUAGUGGCUUACCAAGGCUUUGACGGGUAGCCGGCCUGAGAGGGUAACCGGCCACAUUGGGACUGAGAUACGGCCCAGACUCCUACGGGAGGCAGCAGUGGGGAAUAUUGCACAAUGGGCGGAAGCCUGAUGCAGCAACGCCGCGUGCGGGAUGACGGCCUUCGGGUUGUAAACCGCUUUCGCCUGUGACGAAGCGUGAGUGACGGGAAUGGGUAAAGAAGCACCGGCUAACUACGU